rnacentral:sRNA from 1 species
GUCUUAAUAAGAAGAGAAGGCUUCAAUGGAACCUUUUGUGGUCCUGGUGCUCUGUCUCUCUUUUAUGCUUCUCUUUUCACUCUGGAGACAGAGCUCUGGGAGAAGGAAGUUGCCUCCUGGCCCCACUCCUUUUCCUAUUAUUGGAAAUAUGCUACAGAUAGAUAUUAAGGAUAUCUGCAAAUCUUUCAGCAAUGUAAGUAUGCCUUAUGUUCUUCCAGCCAAUUGCAAAGGUUUUCAAAAGUCUAUGGUCCUGUGUUCACCGUGUAUUUUGGCAUGAAUCCCAUGGUGGUGUUACAUGGAUAUGAGGCAGUGAAGGAAGCCCUGAUUGAUAAUGGAGAGGAGUUUUCUGGAAGAGGCAGUUCCCCAAUAUCUCAAAGAAUUACUAAAGGACUUGGUAGGUGCACAUAUUCCUGUGUCAGCUUUGGUAAUUGGGGUGAGGGGGAUGGAAAACAGAGCCCUAAAAAGCUUCUCAGCAGAGCUUAGCCUAUCUACAUGGCUGCUGAGUGUUGCAGAGCUUUCUUCCUUGGCUGUGAAUUCUCCCAGUUUCUGCCCCUUUUUUUGUUAGGAAUCAUUUCCAGCAAUGGAAACAGAUGGAAGGAGAUCCGGCGUUUCUCCCUCACAACCUUGCGGAAUUUUGGGAUGGGGAAGAGGAGCAUUGAGGACCGUGUUCAAGAGGAAGCUCGCUGCCUUGUGGAGGAGUUGAGAAAAACCAAGGCCUCACCCUGUGAUCCCACUUUCAUCCUGGGCUGUGCUCCCUGCAAUGUGAUCUGCUCCGUUGUUUUCCAGAAACGAUUUGAUUAUAAAGAUCAGAAUUUUCUCACCCUGAUGAAAAGAUUUAAUGAAAACUUCAGGAUUCUGAACUCCCCAUGGAUCCAGGUCUGCAAUAAUUUCCCUCUACUCAUUGAUUGUUUCCCAGGAACUCACAACAAAUUGCUUAAAAAUGUUGCUCUUACAAGAAGUUACAUUAGGGAGAAAGUAAAAGAACACCAAACAUCACUGGAUGUUACCAAUCCUCGGGACUUUAUUGAUUGCUUCCUGAUCAAAAUGGAGCAGGAAAAGGACAACCAAAAGUCAGAAUUCAAUAUUGAAAACUUGGUUGGCACAGUAGCUGAUCUAUUUGUUGCUGGAACAGAGACAACAAGCACUACUCUGAGAUAUGGACUCCUGCUCCUGCUGAAGCACCCAGAGGUCACAGCUAAAGUCCAGGAAGAGAUUGAUCACGUAAUUGGCAGACACAGGAGCCCCUGCAUGCAGGAUAGGAGCCACAUGCCUUACACUGAUGCUGUAGUGCAUGAGAUCCAGAGAUACAUUGACCUUGUCCCCACCGGUGUGCCCCAUGCAGUGACCACUGAUAUUCAGUUCAGAAACUACCUCAUCCCCAAGGGCACAACCAUAAUGACAUUACUGACUUCCGUGCUACACGAUGACAAAGAAUUUCCUAAUCCAAAGAUCUUUGACCCUGGCCACUUUCUAGAUAAGAAUGGCAACUUUAAGAAAAGUGACUACUUCAUGCCUUUCUCAGCAGGAAAACGAAUUUGUGCGGGAGAAGGACUUGCCCGCAUGGAGCUAUUUUUAUUUCUAACCACAAUUUUACAGAACUUUAACCUGAAAUCUGUUGAUGAUUUAAAGAACCUCAAUACUACUGCAGUUACCAAAGGGAUUGUUUCUCUGCCACCCUCGUACCAGAUCUGCUUCAUUCCUGUCUGAAGAAUGUGAGCCCAUCUGGCUGCCGAUCUGCUAUCACCUGCAACUCUUUUUUAUCAAGGACAUUCCCACUAUUAUGUCUUCUCUGACCUCUCAUCAAAUCUUCCCAUUCACUCAAUAUCCCGUGAGCAUCCAACCUCCAUUAAGGAGAGUUGUUCAGGUCACUGCACAAAUAUAUCUGCAAUUAUUCAUACUCUGUAACACUUGUAUUAAUUGCCACAUAUGCUAAUACUUUUCUAAUGCUGACUUUUUAAUAUGUUAUCACUGUAAAACACAGAAAAGUGAUUAAUGAAUGAUAAUUUGGAUCCAUUUCUUUUGUGAAUGUGCU